rnacentral:rRNA from 1 species
UACGGGAGGGCAGCAGUGGGGAAUAUUGCACAAUGGGCGAAAGCCUGAUGCAGCUAUGCCGCGUGUAUGAAGAAGGCCUUAGGGUUGUAAAGUACUUUCAUCGGGGAGGAAAAACAAAACUAAUAAUUUUAUUUCUUGACGUUACCCGAAAAAGAAGCACCGGCUAACUCCGUGCCAGCAGCCGCGGUAAUACGGAGGGUGCUAGCGUUAAUCAGAAUUACUGGGCGUAAAGAGCACGUAGGUGGUUUUUUUAAGUCAGAUGUGAAAUCCCUGGGCUUAACCUAGGAACUGCAUUUUGAAACUGAAAUACUAGAGUAUCGUAGAGGGAGGUAGAAUUCUAGGUGUAGCGGUGAAAUGCGUAGAUAUCUGGAGGAAUACCUGUGGCGAAAGCGGCCUCCUAAACGAAUACUGACACUGAGGUGCGAAAGCGUGGGGAGCAAACAGGGAUUAGAUACC